rnacentral:rRNA from 1 species
CCUACGGGAGGCAGCAGUGAGGAAUAUUGGUCAAUGGGCGGAAGCCUGAACCAGCCAAGUAGCGUGCAGGAUGACGGCCCUACGGGUUGUAAACUUCUUUUAUACGGGAAUAACGCGCCUUACGUGUAGGGCUUUGCAUGUACCGUAUGAAUAAGGACCGGCUAAUUCCGUGCCAGCAGCCGCGGUAAUACGGAAGGUCCGGGCGUUAUCCGGAUUUAUUGGGUUUAAAGGGAGCGUAGGCCGCAUGUCAAGCGUGCUGUGAAAGGUUCGGGCUCAACCCUGGCCUUGCAGCGCGAACUGGCGUGCUUGAGUCCGCGGAAGGCAGGCGGAAUUCGUCGUGUAGCGGUGAAAUGCUUAGAUAUGACGAAGAACCCCGAUUGGGAAGGCAGCUUGCU